GACGAACGCUGGCGGCGUGCUUAACACAUGCAAGUCGAACGAGAAUACUUAGACAGAAGCCUUCGGGUGGAAGACUUUGUAUUCGAGUGGCGGACGGGUGAGUAACGCGUGAGUAACCUGCCUUGAAGAGGGGAAUAACAGCGAGAAAUCGUUGCUAAUACCGCAUAAGACUACAGGAUCGCAUGAUCUAGGAGUCAAAAGAUUUAUCGCUUCAAGAUGGACUCGCGUCCCAUUAGCUAGUUGGUAGGGUAAUGGCUACCAAGGCGACGAUCAGUAGCCGACUUGAGAGAGUGAUCGGCCACAUUGGGACUGAGACACGGCCCAAACUCCUACGGAGGCAGCAGUGGGGAAUAUUGCACAAUGGGGGAAACCCUGAUGCAGCAACGCCGCGU
rnacentral:rRNA from 1 species